rnacentral:rRNA from 1 species
GAUGAACGCUGGCGGCGUGCUUAACACAUGCAAGUCGAACGAGAACGGGUUAUAGCUUGCUAUAAUUGUCAGCUAAGUGGCGCACGGGUGAGUAAUGUAUAGGUAAUAUGCCUCUUACUAAGGGAUAACAAAUGGAAACGUUUGCUAAUACCUUAUACUCCUUAUUAACAGAAGUUAAUAAGGGAAAGAUUUAUUGGUAAGAGAUUAGCCUGUAUUGUAUCAGUUAGUUGGUGGGGUAAUGGCUUACCAAGACUAUGACACAUAACUGGUUUGAGAGGAUGAUCAGUCACACUGGAACUGAGACACGGUCCAGACUCCUACGGGAGGCAGCAGUGGGGAAUAUUGCACAAUGGACGAAAGUCUGAUGCAGCAACGCCGCGUGGAGGAUGACACAUUUCGGUGCGUAAACUCCUUUUAUAUGAGAAGAUAAUGACGGUAUUAUAUGAAUAAGCACCGGCUAACUCCGUGCCAGCAGCCGCGGUAA